rnacentral:snRNA from 1 species
AAGGUUGAUUGGCAGGGGAGAUACCAUGAUCACCAAGGUGGUUUUCCCAGGGCGAGGCUUAUCCAUUGCACUCCGGAUGUGCUGACCCCUGCGAUUUCCCCAAAUGUGGGAAACUCGACUGCAUAAUUUGUGGUAGUGGGGGACUGCGUUCGCGCUCUCCCCUG